rnacentral:rRNA from 1 species
GUAGGGUGCAAGUGUUAAUCGGAAUUACUGGGCGUAAAGCGUGCGCAGGCGGUUUUGUAAGUCUGAUGUGAAAUCCCCGGGCUCAACCUGGGAAUUGCAUUGGAGACUGCAAGGCUAGAAUCUGGCAGAGGGGGGUAGAAUUCCACGUGUAGCAGUGAAAUGCGUAGAUAUGUGGAGGAACACCGAUGGCGAAGGCAGCCCCCUGGGUCAAGAUUGACGCUCAUGCACGAAAGCGUGGGGAGCAAACAGGAUUAGAUACCCUGGUAGUCCACGCCCUAAACGAUGUCUACUAGUUGUCGGGUCUUAAUUGACUUGGUAACGCAGCUAACGCGUGAAGUAGACCGCCUGGGGAGUACGGUCGCAAGAUUA